rnacentral:rRNA from 1 species
UACGUAGGGGGCAAGCGUUGUCCGGAUUUAUUGGGCGUAAAGAGCGUGUAGGCGGCCAGGUAGGUCCGCUGUGAAAACUCGAGGCUUAACCUCGAGAUGUCGGUGGAAACCAUCUGGCUAGAGUCCGGAAGAGGAGAGUGGAAUUCCUGGUGUAGCGGUGAAAUGCGCAGAUAUCAGGAAGAACACCCGUGGCUAAGGCGGCUCUCUAGUACGGUACUGACGCUGAGACGCGAAAGCGUGGGGAGCGAACAGG